rnacentral:rRNA from 1 species
UACGGAGGGUGCAAGCGUUAUCCGGAUUUACUGGGUUUAAAGGGUGUGUAGGCGGGCUUUUAAGUCAGUGGUGAAAUCUCCGGGCUCAACCCGGAAAUUGCCAUUGAUACUAUUAGUCUUGAAUUAAGUUGAGGUGGGCGGAAUUUGUCAUGUAGCGGUGAAAUGCUUAGAUAUGACACAGAACACCGAUUGCGAAGGCAGCUCGCUAAACUUAUAUUGACGCUGAGGCACGAAAGCGUGGGGAUCAAACAGG